UCAAAUUUGAAAUCUGGUACCUUUGGUGCCCGAGUUGUAAUUUGGAGAGUACCACUUUGGGACUGUACUUUGCCUAUGUUCCUUGGAACAGGACGUCAUGGAGGGUGAGAAUCCCGUGUGGCGAGGGUGUCAGUUCUUUGUAAAGGGUGCUCGAAGAGUCGAGUUGUUUGGGAAUGCAGCUCUAAGUGGGUGGUAAAUUCCAUCUAAAGCUAAAUACAGGCGAGAGACCGAUAGCGAACAAGUACAGUGAUGGAAAGAUGAAAAGAACUUUGAAAAGAGAGUGAAAAAGUACGUGAAAUUGUUGAAAGGGAAGGGCAUUUGAUCAGACAUGGUGUUUUGCGCCCCUUGCCUCUCGUGGGCUUGGGACUCUCGCAGCUCACUGGGCCAGCAUCGGUUUUGGCGGCCGGAAAAAACCUAGGGAAUGUGGCUCUGCGCCUCGGUGUAGAGUGUUAUAGCCCUGGGGAAUACGGCCAGCCGGGACCGAGGACUGCGAUACUUGUUAUCUAGGA
rnacentral:rRNA from 1 species